rnacentral:rRNA from 1 species
ACUGGAGUUCAGACGUGUGCUCUUCCGAUCUGUUUCCCAGUCACGAUAGUCGAGCGGAUGAGUGGAGCUUGCUCCAUGAUUCAGCGGCGGACGGGUGAGUAAUGUAUCGGAACGUACCUUUCAGUGGGGGAUAACGUAGCGAAAGUUACGCUAAUACCGCAUAUUCUCUGAGGAGGAAAGCAGGGGACCUUCGGGCCUUGCGCUGAUGGAGCGGCCGAUAUCAGAUUAGCUAGUUGGUGGGGUAAAGGCUCACCAAGGCUACGAUCUGUAGCGGGUCUGAGAGGAUGAUCCGCCACACUGGGACUGAGACACGGCCCAGACUCCUACGGGAGGCAGCAGUGGGGAAUUUUGGACAAUGGGCGAAAGCCUGAUCCAGCCAUGCCGCGUGAGUGAAGAAGGCCUUCGGGUUGUAAAGCUCUUUCGGACGGGAAGAAAUCAUGAGGGCUAAUAUCCCUUGUGGAUGACGGUACCGUAAUAAGAAGCACCGGCUAACUACGUGCCAGCAGCCGCGGUAAUACGUAGGGUGCGAGCGUUAAUCGGAAUUACUGGGCGUAAAGCGUGCGCAGGCGGUUUUGUAAGACAGGCGUGAAAUCCCCGGGCUCAACCUGGGAACUGCGCUUGUGACUGCAUCACUUGAGUACGGCAGAGGGGGGUGGAAUUCCACGUGUAGCAGUGAAAUGCGUAGAGAUGUGGAGGAACACCGAUGGCGAAGGCAGCCCCCUGGGUCGAUACUGACGCUCAUGCACGAAAGCGUGGGUAGCAAACAGGAUUAGAUACCCUGGUAGUCCACGCCCUAAACGAUGUCAACUAGGUGUUGGGUGGGUAAAACCAUUUAGUACCGUAGCUAACGCGUGAAGUUGACCGCCUGGGGAGUACGGCCGCAAGGUUAAAACUCAAAGGAAUUGACGGGGACCCGCACAAGCGGUGGAUGAUGUGGAUUAAUUCGAUGCAACGCGAAAAACCUUACCUACCCUUGACAUGUCAGGAACCUUUCAGAGAUGAAUUGGUGCCCGAAAGGGAACCUGAACACAGGUGCUGCAUGGCUGUCGUCAGCUCGUGUCGUGAGAUGUUGGGUUAAGUCCCGCAACGAGCGCAACCCUUUUCCUUAGUUGCUACGCAAGAGCACUCUAAGGAGACUGCCGGUGACAAACCGGAGGAAGGUGGGGAUGACGUCAAGUCCUCAUGGCCCUUAUGGGUAGGGCUUCACACGUCAUACAAUGGUCGGUACAGAGGGUCGCCAACCCGCGAGGGGGAGCCAAUCCCAGAAAGCCGAUCGUAGUCCGGAUUGCAGUCUGCAACUCGACUGCAUGAAGUCGGAAUCGCUAGUAAUCGCGGAUCAGCAUGUCGCGGUGAAUACGUUCCCGGGCCUUGUACACACCUAUCGUGACUGGGAAAC